GACUCUUUCACCUCGGUCAUACAUAUGUGCUGCUGAAAAUCUAAAAAUAUUAGAAUACAGUGACCUUGAUCAUGUCCAGCCCAGUGAAGGCUUCAGCCACCACUCGAUCUCCUCGUCCUCCUCCACGCCUUCCGACGUGCGCCAGAUGCCGUCACCACGGGCACAUCGUCCGGCUUAAAGGCCAUGCAAAGACGUGUCCGUUCACGGCCGACGAGUUGAUGGAAGCCCGUCGAGGGAGCAAGGUGCCUGCUCGGGACAGGCCUGUGGAGGAAACAACGGGAGUGUUGAACUUGAGCACGACGAUCGAAAGAAGAGAGGGGUUUCUGGUCGCGCACCCAACGGCCCUUUACCCCAACUACCUGGCCGACAUGCCGGCCAUGUGGACCAUCCCUCACACCCAUUACCACAGUUUGGCCUUCCCGAUCUGUCCACCAAUGUGUUCUCCACCGCCACCCCUUCUCGACCCAAGGAUCUUCUUCGGGCUGGUUCCUCCUGGGCCCUAUCAACCUUUUCCAAUGCCUACACCCCCUCCCUUCUUCAGACCUCCUUCACCACCAGCUAAUCACUGAUUUUGAGCCAAUCGAAAAUCUAUUGUUUUUGUAAGUUUUCUUUGUUUAAUGUAUCAGUUACAUGUAAGGUUAUCUGUAACGGUUUCAAAUAUAUAAAUAAGUUCCAUAUCAAGUUUUUUAUAAAUGUUUUAAAUGCUUCUGAAAUUAAACUUUUUUUGAAUGUCCC
ensembl:lncRNA